rnacentral:rRNA from 1 species
UACGUAGGGACCGAGCGUUGUCCGGAAUCAUUGGGCGUAAAGAGCGUGUAGGCGGCUAUUUAAGUCCUGCGUGAAAUCCUGCGGCUCAACCGCAGACGGUCGUGGAAAACUGGAUGGCUAGAGUGCGGGAGAGGAGAGUGGAAUUCCCGGUGUAGCGGUGAAAUGCGCAGAUAUCGGGAAGAACACCCGUGGCGAAGGCGGCUCUCUGGAACGCAACUGACGCUGAGACGCGAAAGCGUGGGGAGCAAACAGG